GAGAUGCUUUGUGGCUUUCAACAGGGAGAUCAACAUGUCCAGAUUUGAAUAAAGUAUGCAACACAAAUGAAGAUUGUGAAAAUUGUGAUGUGGCGUUGGCGUGUCUCCAACCAGUUUCUGGGUCCGUUCCACAAUGCAUUCAAUACAACCCUUUAUAUCCUGGAACAAAUCCAGGAUGAAACGUUCCACAACUAGUUACAACUAUUAAAGUGCUACAACCCCAAAUAUGAUUUAACCUGCAUGGGGGUAACAGUAGUGGGUCAUUAAAUUAAAACUCUUUUACUAAUAGUAAUAAACACAAAUUGAUAAACUCCUCUUGGUAGAAGUUUCCGGAUAUGAUGAAUUGAAAAUUAGAUUACUUUUGUUUCUUUGUUUUUUGUCUUUAAAAACAUCUCUGAAGAAAACGUGUCUUUUUCCAAACAAGAUAUCGUACAUUUCUGCCGAUAAUUAGAAUAACACAAAACGUAAUAAUUGCACACUCCAAAAAUCAUUUGGGGGUUUUAGUGGCACUCUAUAAGAUGACGACUUUGAUUUACAUUUAUUACAUAUAGCAUGCAAUUAAUUAAUAGUAAAUGUAUGUCAAAAUAUAUUGUUGCUUAUUAUCAAC